GACAGAUGUGAGGGCCAUCCAUAUUUGCCCUCUCUGCAGCUGAUGGGUGAUACGAUGAAGUUGAGACACAAGGGCUACAAGAUCUCUCUCCCCUUUUGCCUUCUACUUCCCGUGUUCCCCCACUGACUUCUUUGGAUGCAUCCUGUCUCCAUCCAUCUGAAUGUCAGAGACCUUGCUGCUUAAAGUUGGGUAAUCUGCUAACAUCUGGAUCCCUGUGGCUCAUCUUUUGUCCUGGGUAUCACCACUACUGUGUUCCUAUGAUGGGAGCGGUGGAGAGGAGAGAUGGCAAAGAGGAACCUGGUGACUGUAGGAUCAUCCCACAUAGCUGAUGCUGUUGGAGUUUUUUCUUUUUCUGCUGAGGAUGACCACUGACCUUCUG